rnacentral:rRNA from 1 species
UUGGGUUAAGUCCCGCAACGAGCGCAACCCUCAUCCUAGUUGCCAUCACGUUUGGGUGGGCACUCUAAGGAAACUGCCGGUGGCAAGCCGGAGGAAGGUGGGGAUGACGUCAAGUCCUCAUGGCCCUUACGGGUAGGGCUACACACGUGCUACAAUGGCAGUGACAAUGGGAUAAUCCCAAAAAGCUGUCUCAGUUCGGAUUGUCGUCUGCAACUCGACGGCAUGAAGGUGGAAUCGCUAGUAAUCGUGGAUCAGCAUGCCACGGUGAAUACGUUCCCGGGCCUU